rnacentral:lncRNA from 1 species
CCGGCCUUCAUUUCACUGUAUCUUAUUUACCAAAGGAGAUCAAAUGGGUCUCAAGCCAACGCUGAGAUUGCUGUAGUGUUCAUCAGCCCUCUCCGUGCUUUGCUCUAUAGAAUAUACAUCUGCGUCUCAGGGAUGGUGUUCAAGAUGAGGAAGUUGAAGGAAAAGAAGAAUCAGAAACUGCAAAGCCUCCAAGCUUUACCACCGCAAUGUAGUUUUAGCAGAUGGACCUGUCAAUUUGUAUUCAUGAAAUGUACACCCACCAUUCUGAAAUGAUCAGGCUCGGCUAUAUACGUCCUUCUUUCCCAAGACUGUGGGUUUUCAGGGUAUUUAACUUUUCAUAAGAGUAAAACUGUAGAAAACUCCUGCUUAUCAGAGAUAAUUUAUAGUUGUAUUAUUUAAGAUUCAGUUUGGCUCUAGGUAACAGAAAUCCCC